rnacentral:rRNA from 1 species
CAGCCGCCGCGGUAAUACGAAGGGUGCAAGCGUUACUCGGAAUUACUGGGCGUAAAGCGUGUGUAGGUGGUUGUUUAAGUCUGUCGUGAAAGCCCUGGGCUCAACCUGGGAAUUGCGAUGGAUACUGGGCGACUAGAGUGCGGUAGAGGAUAGUGGAAUUUCCGGUGUAGCAGUGAAAUGCGUAGAGAUCGGAAGGAACACCAGUGGCGAAGGCGGCUACCUGGACUGAGACUGACACUGAGGCGCGAGAGCGUGGGGAGCAAACAGGAUUAGAUACCCCGGUAGUCCCUGUCUCUUAUAC